rnacentral:piRNA from 1 species
UACUUCAUUUUCUAAGAAAGUUCAUCCCGUG